AGAGCGAACGCUGGCGGCAGGCCUAACACAUGCAAGUCGAGCGCCCGUAGCAAUACGGGAGCGGCAGACGGGAUAGUAACACGUGGGAACGCGCCCUUCGGUUCGGAAUAACUCAGGGAAACUUGAGCUAAUACCGGAUACGCCCUUACGGGGAAAGAUUUAUUGCCGAAGGAACGGCCCGCGUCCGAUUAGCUAGUUGGUGAGGUAAUGGCUCACCAAGGCGACGAUCGGUAGCUGGUCUGAGAGGAUGACCAGCAUCACUGGGACUGAGACACGGCCCAGACUCCUACGGGAGGCAGCAGUGGGGAAUAUUGGACAAUGGGCGCAAGCCUGAUCCAGCCAUGCCGCGUGGAUGAUGAAGGCCUUAGGGUUGUAAAGUCCUUUUAACGGGGAAGAUAAUGACGGUACCCGUAGAAUAAGCCCGGCUAACUUCGCGCCAGCACGCCGC
rnacentral:rRNA from 1 species